rnacentral:rRNA from 1 species
UACGAAGGGGGCUAGCGUUGCUCGGAAUCACUGGGCGUAAAGGGUGCGUAGGCGGGUCUUUUAAGUCAGGGGUGAAAUCCUGGAGCUCAACUCCAGAACUGCCUUUGAUACUGAAGAUCUUGAGUUCGGGAGAGGUGAGUGGAACUGGCGAGUGUAGAGGUGAAAUUCGUAGAUAUUCGCAAGAACACCAGUGGCGAAGGCGGCUCACUGGCCCGAUACUGACGCUGAGGCACGAAAGCGUGGGGAGCAACAGGAU